GACAGAGGGGGCAAGCGUUGUCCGGAGUCACUGGGCGUAAAGCGCGCGCAGGCGGCAAGGUGAGUGUCGUGUGAAAGCCCCCGGCUCAACCGGGGGAGGCCGUGGCAGACAGGGUCGCUCGAGCUGCGGAGAGGCCCCUCGAAUUGCCGGUGUAGCGGUGAAAUGCGUAGAGAUCGGCAGGAAGACCAAGGGGGAAGCCAGGGGGCUGGCCGCAGGCUGACGCUGAGGCGCGACAGCGUGGGGAGCAAACCGG
rnacentral:rRNA from 1 species